CCCUUAGAUGUUCUGGGCCGCACGCGCGCUACACUGAUGAAUUCAACGAGCUCCUAACCUAGGCCGAAGGGUCCGGGUAAUCUUUGAAAUUUCAUCGUGAUGGGGAUAGAUUAUUGCAAUUAUUAAUCUUCAACGAGGAAUUCCUAGUAAGCGCGAGUCAUCAGCUCGCGUUGAUUACGUCCCUGCCCUUUGUACACACCGCCCGUCGCUCCUACCGAUUGAAUGGUCCGGUGAAAUCUCGGGACGGCGGCUUGGUCGCUUGCGUCCGACUGCUGAAACUUGAUUAAACCAUAUCAUUUAGAGGAAGGUGAAGUCGUAACA
rnacentral:rRNA from 1 species